rnacentral:misc_RNA from 1 species
GAUUUUGCAGUGCCUAGAAUUAUGUCUGGCGGAUUGGUCAAGGUUUUGGACCCUAGGGUUGGUCCGCCGGAGCUUAAUGAAGCAGAGGCAGUGGUGCUGGUUGCAUAUACUGCACUUCGUUGUGUGAAUUUGGAAGCGAAAGAUAGGCCAAGUAUGACUGACGUUGUUGUUAAUUUGGAGAGAGCUUUGUUUCUCUGUAAUGGUAGUAUGGAGGGGUAUUGACAAUGGGAAGAAGCAGACCAGCCAUGUGGUUGUAUGUGUUAGAAGUAUUAGAUAGUAUAGGAUUUCAGUUUUAUGUAUUUUAAUUCAUUUCAAUUGAUAAAUUUCAGUGAAGUUUUGAAUUCAUUAGAUAGAAGAAAAAUAGAGGAAGGAACUUUGAAAGAGAGUUGAGUAGCAGACCUGAAAAAGUUGAGAGUAGUCUUU